rnacentral:rRNA from 1 species
ACUUAAAUUGAAGAGUUUGAUCAUGGCUCAGAUUGAACGCUGGCGGCAGGCCUAACACAUGCAAGUCGAGCGGUAGCACAGAGAGCUUGCUCUCGGGUGACGAGCGGCGGACGGGUGAGUAAUGUCUGGGAAACUGCCUGAUGGAGGGGGAUAACUACUGGAAACGGUAGCUAAUACCGCAUAAUGUC